rnacentral:rRNA from 1 species
GUCUUUUUGAUUAUAAUUUAAAGUUUAACCUGCCCAAUGAUUAUAUUAAAUGGCCGCAGUAUUUUGACUGUGCAAAGGUAGCAUAAUCAUUAGUUUUUUAAUUAAGAGCUGGAAUGAAGGGUUGGACGAGAAAAUUUCUGUCUCAUAUUAAUUUUUAUAAAAUUUUAUUUUUAAGUUAAAAAGCUUAAAUAUUUAUAAAAGACGAGAAGACCCUAUAGAAUUUUAUAUAAAUAUUUUAUAUGUUAUUUUAGAAUUUUUAUAAUUUUAGAAAAUUUUAUAUUUUAUUGGGGUGAUAGAAAAAUUUAAUUAACUUUUUUUUUAUAUUAUCAUAAAUAAAUGUAUGAUUGAUCCAUUAUUAGUGAUUAUAAGAUUAAAUUACCUUAGGGAUAACAGCGUAAUUUUUUUGGAGAGUUCAAAUCGAUAAAAAAGUUUGCGACCUCGAUGUUGGAUUAAAAUUUAAUUUUGGUGUAGAAGCUUAAAAUUUAGGUCUGUUCGACCUUUAAAAUUUU